GACGAACGCUGGCGGCAUGCCUAACACAUGCAAGUCGAACGGGAUUAUCUCGACAGAAGCCUUCGGGUGGAAGAUGAGUGUAUCUAGUGGCGGACGGGUGAGUAACGCGUGAGUAACCUGCCUACAAGAGGGGGAUAACAACUGGAAACAGUUGCUAAUACCGCAUAAGCCUACAAGGUCGCAUGGCCAAGGAGGAAAAGGAGAAAUCCACUUGUAGAUGGACUCGCGUCCCAUUAGUUAGUUGGCGGGGUAACGGCCCACCAAGACAGCGAUGGGUAGCCGGACUGAGAGGUUGAACGGCCACACUGGGACUGAGACACGGCCCAGACUCCUACGGGAGGCAGCAGUGGGGAAUAUUGGGCAAUGGGGGGAACCCUGACGCAGCGACGCCGCGUGGGUGAAGAAGUAUUUCGGUAUGUAAAGCCCUAUCAGCAGGGAAGGUAAUGACGGUACCUGAGUAAGAAGCCCCGGCUAACUACGUGCCAGCCGCCGCAGUAAAAC
rnacentral:rRNA from 1 species